AUUGAACGCUGGCGGCAUGCCUUACACAUGCAAGUCGAACGGCAGCACGGGGGCAACCCUGGUGGCGAGUGGCGAACGGGUGAGUAAUGCAUCGGAACGUACCCGGAAGUGGGGGAUAACGUAGCGAAAGUUUCGCUAAUACCGCAUAUGCCCUGAGGGGGAAAGUGGGGGAUCGCAAGACCUCACGUUGUCGGAGCGGCCGAUAUCAGAUUAGCUAGUUGGUGGGGUAAAGGCCUACCAAGGCGACGAUCUGUAGCUGGUCUGAGAGGACGACCAGCCACACUGGGACUGAGACACGGCCCAGACUCCUACGGGAGGCAGCAGUGGGGAAUUUUGGACAAUGGGGGCAACCCUGAUCCAGCCAUGCCGCGUGAGUGAAGAAGGCCUUCGGGUUGUAAAGCUCUUUCGGACAGAAAGAAAUCGCCGCUUCUAAUAAAGGUGGUGGAUGACGGUACUGUAAGAAGAAGCACCGGCUAACUACGUGCCAGCCGCCGCAGUAAGAC
rnacentral:rRNA from 1 species